CAGUAGCCGCGGUAAUACGGAGGGGGCUAGCGUUGUUCGGAAUUACUGGGCGUAAAGCGCGCGUAGGCGGCUUUGUAAGUUAGAGGUGAAAGCCCGGAGCUCAACUUCGGAAUUGCCUUUAAGACUGCAUCGCUUGAAUCAUGGAGAGGUCAGUGGAAUUCCGAGUGUAGAGGUGAAAUUCGUAGAUAUUCGGAAGAACACCAGUGGCGAAGGCGACUGACUGGACAUGUAUUGACGCUGAGGUGCGAAAGCGUGGGGAGCAAACAGGAUUAGAUACCCGGGUAGUCCCUGUCUCUUAUAC
rnacentral:rRNA from 1 species